UCGUCUGUUUAAAAACCCCCAUUAAUGUAUACACAUACGUCCUCGGACGGCACAUUUACCCCCCGCUAAUGGCACUGGCUGGAAGCUGGAACGAUCUGUGCGUAACGACUUCAGCAAUCUCCCAGCCCUCCCUCAUUUACAGUUUUCUGCACAGGCUCCUUCUGACCUCUUCAAAUCCCAUCCCAAUUACAGCCUCCCACUUACCCUUCAAUGUAAAUAAAUCCUGCAUGGUGGGGAUCGCUACUACCAGCACAGAUAAAAGCAAAGAUGUUGAUGGAGGAAAAGCACAACCUGCGCCCUGUUUUUGAGAAGGGCAAGAAAACAAAGCACAGGCAGCCCAGCAGGGCUGAGGCGUGGGAUGAGAGGUGUCACCCGUCAGGAUGCUCAGAGCUUGGGCACAGCUCAGCCCUCCGGGGACAUCCAGAGAUCUUGCAAGGAGAAGCUCCAAAGUAGUGCAAAGCUGUCCAUGUUGAACAGAUGGAUAGCCACAAAAUCUCUGUGGGGCAUCCGUGCACCUGAGACUUCUUUGGAUGCAUGGGAAAUCUGCUUAGGAAACUGCCUAAUUCCUCUGCUAAGAUGUCGCCAUCCACUGCAUGUUGGAGGAUGGAAACCCCAGGAGGCUCCACAUCAGGCCAGGCAACCUUGGCUGCUCACUCGUCCCAAGUUGCGAUGCUGGGACCUCACACUGAAGUUUCCCCACGAGCCUUUGCAGUUUCAAGCCACCGGGUACAAUAGCAGGUGAGGCAGAAGCUGUGGGUGGAGACCCUUGCAGAUGCUUUUGGAGAGGUGUCCACCUCCAGGAUGCAAAUGGAGUGGCUUGGCUCAGUGCCUUGGACAUCACUGGAGCUUUGUGCAAUCACCGUGACGCAAGGCCAUCCAUUUCAUUCAUACUUCUGUGCUCUUGCUCAUUAGGCAACAUCUCCUUUGUCAGGUGGGCAGUUAGUUUGGAAGCUGAAGUAUCAAGGGACACAUUUUGCACACACAGUCCUGGAGAUAGGAUGCCCAGCUCAUGCACAUAGACACAGAACCUCUGAGUUGAACACUUCCUCAACAAAGGCCAAGGCCACCACUCUGCCAUUGUAGGUCCCAGAUUUGGGCUACCUGCCAAUGAAGUUCCUCCUUUGGAGGAGACACGCGAAGUCUAGGUUGGCAGCGCCUGCAAACAGAUGUCUGCGUGAAUAACCCACCUUUGAGAAAGCAGCUAAGCCACCUGCUGUUGGGACACUGAGGCUUUGCAUGAGUUCAGUGCAAGGGAAUGUUCUUUCAUAUGAGUCUGCGUUUCACUGUCAUGGUUUUCCCAUGUUUCAGAAGAGCAUGGGAAAUACUGGAGGGCACACCAGGCACACAUCCAUCACAUUGACUCCAUGGGAUGGUGCUUCAGGCCCUAACUGCAUUCCCCAGAACACCACCACAGGCUGUGGAAAUCCCAUCCGUGCUCUGACCACCGGCUUCCUAAGAGUUUAAGCAUUGCAAAGAGCCUGCUCUGCUCCUCCUGGAAAUGGGGAGACACCCCACAGGACAUCCAGAGCAGGAACGGGGAACCAUCAGCAGGUAACACUGCCCCACCUCAGCAUAAAUGUUGGCUUCAUACCAACUUGGAGAAAUACUGAUCAUUUUGGUGCACUUGGUUCUCUGCUCAGCCCAGGUCCAUGGGCACAGAUUAUGGUCCAGCUGAGUGCUGUGGGGAGCCAUCAGCCUCCCUGGAGACCCGCACAUCGGCAGCUCUAUGGAACGUCCUCUCCUUGGCCUCCCUCUUCUGCACAUGCCACAGGGAGGGUGACCUCCAAAGCCAGGCAGAAGCCUCAUCAUUUGGAGAUGCUUCUCGCUAUGAGUCCCCAGCAGAUGGGGAAAUUGGUCUGGCCACCACCCAGCCUCAGGGAACACGGGGCAUGAUGGAGUCCCAUCAGUCUUUUGUGGCCAACUUCUGCACCAGGUGGUGGCUCCUCCAGGUGGGAAUGGAAGAAUAUUUGGGAGCAUUUUUGUGGGUGAUUCCUGCACUGCUUUGCCUGGUUGUGCCUUUUGCAGGGAGCAAACGGAAGAGUCCUGUGUCAUCAUGUACGAACAAGGUCAGGAAAUACUUACUCCAUCCCUGCUCCUGGUUUUGCUGAGUCUGAAACGAGUUGUUCAGAACAAGAUAAGAAACGAACAGCAGCGGAUGUGUGCAGGAGGCCAUGGGCUCUGUGCAAAACAUCCUGUUGGCCUCUGCAACAGGGACAAACACAGCUCAUCAGAGCAGAUACUGAGCAAACUGUCCCAUCUCUGCAUCCACCACAUCGGGGACCUCUUUUAGGAGGUAAAAACUCUCUAUACUGAAAUCUCAUUUGGCUAGCCUUAAUUGCUGGAUGGGCUGAGCUUGGUAUCAAGGGUCAUUUGGAAGAAUUAACUCUGCAGUAGAGACAACCCUCCUGCUGCAGCAUCAGAGCAGGGCUGCAAGAGCAGGGAGGGGAGGAACCGGUCCCCAAAGCACCGGUAUACAGUUGGCUCUUCUAGAUGUCACAUUUUGUUCCACAAAUGACACUUUCCUACAGAAAACACUUCCUGGCUCUUCUUUUCAGCACUGCUAAUCAUCACUCUCCCAGCCUCUGGAUCAGGCCCAAACCAAUCACAUCUGUGCCCAAAAAAAGAAAACGUCCACUUGUGUUUCAUUUACUUUUAUGGGAGCGUUAACACAUUUCAGUCACAUAAAACCUUCACCUUCAAAAGGGAAAAGGGAAAGACAGAAAGGAAAGCCUGCCACAUAAAGUAAGAGACUUAGCCCCAAUUACACGUUGAACGACACCAACCCAAGAAAGGCUGACCUGGUGCAGGAGGGUUUCUCUGUACAGAGCUUUGGAUCGAGCAGAGGUCCAGGGAUGCCGAACAGCAAAACAACAGAAUGCAGGAACAAUGGCAGGACCAUUGCACCCCAGUCAUCACCAGCAUGCUGGGAUGCUGCCACUGCCCCAGCCGUCACGGCCAGGCUGCAGCUGCGGACAGCCGUCACCGCCCCGUCUGUGGGGUCUUUCGUUGGUGGUUUGAGAUUUUUUUCACAGAAGAUGCUCCUAACCAAAACCAGAUUUGAUUCCCAAAUAGCACCAAUCUCCUUUAAAGCUUACAAAUCUUCCACACCUGUGUUUGCUCAUUCCUGCUGCUCAGCCCUGCCCUGGGAAGGACGAUGUUUAUUCCACUCCUCCACAGUUAUUUACAAUGGGGUUUUCGGAUGGAGAUGGAGCACAUAUUUGUCUAAUGGCAACAGGGUAGUGAAUUUAAUUCUCCUCAUUAACAGUCAGCAGCUUAACGGGAAGCAAUAAAAGAUUUUUUUAAAUAG